rnacentral:rRNA from 1 species
CCUACGGGUGGCUGCAGUGGGGAAUAUUGGACAAUGGGGGGAACCCUGAUCCAGCCAUGCCGCGUGUGUGAAGAAGGCCCUCGGGUUGUAAAGCACUUUCAGUGAGGAAGAACGCCUGGUGGUUAAUACCCAUCAGGAAAGACAUCACUCACAGAAGAAGCACUGGCUAACUCCGUGCCAGCAGCCGCGGUAAUACGGAGGGUGCGAGCGUUAAUCGGAAUUACUGGGCGUAAAGCGCGCGUAGGUGGCUUGAUAAGCCGGUUGUGAAAGCCCCGGGCUCAACCUGGGAACGGCAUCCGGAACUGUCAAGCUAGAGUGCAGGAGAGGAAGGUAGAAUUCCCGGUGUAGCGGUGAAAUGCGUAGAGAUCGGGAGGAAUACCAGUGGCGAAGGCGGCCUUCUGGACUGACACUGACACUGAGGUGCGAAAGCGUGGGUAGCAAACAGGAUAGAUACCCGUGUAGUC